AAGGGAGACCUAAUUCAGGUAGGAGACGAAAAAAAAGUAGUCCCAACCAAGAAUCAAUCCCAAAAGGUCGGAGCGAGGCGAAAUUGGCUUUCAAACUAGGUUCUGGGUUCACACAAGACCUGAAUCAGGAACAAGGGCUAUUAGCUCAGGUGGUUAGAGCGCACCCCUGAUAAGGGUGAGGUCCCUGGUUCGAGUCCAGGAUGGCCCACCUGCACAGGUGGCAAAAACAAGAGAAGCGAGGAAUCAGCAGCUUAUCUUAUCUAUAUAUAUAUAGGAGAGAAUGCUGGCUCUGAGUAAAGAGACCAGAGGAACCUUGAAAACUGCAUAGAGCUAGGUGAAAAAGCCAAAAAAGAAGACCGCAA
rnacentral:tRNA from 1 species